rnacentral:lncRNA from 1 species
CAAUACAUUUUUCUCACAACUCCAAACAUUUGCUCGAUAGACUAAUGGCGUUUCCAAAAUCGAUCAUUUUAAUCACUUUCUUGCUUUCAGCUCUAGGUUAUUUCUCUCUUCUCCCCUCCCCCUCCCCCCCCCCCCCCCCUCUCACACACACACAGGGGCGGAGCCAGGGGCUAGGGGGCUGAAGCCCCCUCCCAAAUUUCGGGAUUUUUUUUUUAAUUUCAAAGACAUAUAUAAAUAUAUGCCUAUACCUAUUAUAAAAGGAUUUUGUUAUACAAAAGUUGAUUUGCUUGUUAUAUUCACUGAUAUAUACUUAACUUAAGAAUAAUUGUGGUAUCUAAAACUAUAUAAUCUAUGAAAAUAUUGUUCAUUAUUAUUACUACUAUACUUAUCUUUUAAUAGAAAAUGCGUAAAAUGUACGGAGUGCUCAAAAAAUUUUUGUUUGUUAUUAUUACUAUAUAUUAUGCUUGUCUUUUAAUACAAGAAAUGCCUAAAAUAUACGAAAUGUUCAUUUUUUUUUGUAAUCUAUUGAAACUAAUUUAUAAUAUAUCGAAAUUAUAUAAUCUAUGAAAAUGUUGUUCGUUAUUAUUACUAUUAUGCUUUUUUUUAAAUGCCUUAAAUAUACAUAUGCCCAAAAAAUCUCUCUCUUUAUAUAUAAUAUGCAUAACUUGAAUGUUUAUUUUGUAUGAAUUUGACAGAGUUAGCAAGAGCUGUGCAACCAUUAAUGUGCAAGACAAAUGAGGAUUGUAGUGGUAAAUUGGCAUGCAUUGAGCUUGAAGGUGAGACAUUAGAAUGUGUUGAUGAGAGGUGCACUUGUAUUAACGAACACUUGAUUCUGUCUGCUGCUGCUGUUGCUCCUGCCGCCGUUGAAGACAAUAAUAUGGUUGUGAUGUGUAAAGAAGAUGAGGAUUGCAA